AUUGAACGCUGGCGGCAGGCUUAACACAUGCAAGUCGAACGAGUGGCGGACGGGUGAGUAAUGCUUGGGAAUCUGGCUUAUGGAGGGGGAUAACGACGGGAAACUGUCGCUAAUACCGCGUACCAUAGGAUGAGCCCAAGUGGGAUUAGGUAGUUGGUGGGGUAAAGGCCUACCAAGCUGACGAUCUCUAGCUGGUCUGCGAGGAUGACCAGCCACACCGAGACUGAGGGACGGCCCGGACUCCUUCGAGAGGCAGAAGUGGGGAAUAUUGCGCAAGGGGGGCAACCCAAACGAAGCGAUACCGCGUGAAUGAAGAAGGCGUUCGAGUUGUAAAGUUCUUACGGUAUUGAGGCGUAAAAUACAGAAGAAGCACCGGGUAACUCCGUGCCAGCAGCCGCGGUAAUAC
rnacentral:rRNA from 1 species